AUGCCAUCAUGGGGGUAAUUCUCAUUCCUGGGUACCAUACGCUCUCAAAAGCAACACAACCAAUCUGGCAAAUUUUAGUGUGAAAAAACAACCUUGUAUUUGACUCUGUAACAUUCAAAAACAGUAUAAAACCUGUACAUUGGGGGUACUGUUAUACUCGGGAGACUUUGCUGAACACAAAUAUUAGUGUUUCACUUUCACUGACAAUAUCAUCGCUGUGAUAUGUUUUACUGUUUUGAAACACUAAUAUUGGUGUUCAGCGAAGUCUCCCGAGUAAAACAGUACCCCCCCAUGUACAGGUUUUAGGGUGUCAUGGAAAGUUACAGGGUUAAAUACAGUGCUAGCAAAUGAUAUUCUCUGGACUUUCGGCAUGGGUUGUCAUGCAGUUCCCACAAAUUGCAAUCAAUAAAAUUACUUAAUUAUGUAAAAAUAUUAUAUAAAUAUGCAAGUAGAAUUUAAAUAUACAUAUUUAUAUAUUUGAC